UGUUCGUUAGUUGCCUCUUUCCCCCGGCUACAUUCUCUCUGCACAACAGUCUGUUGCUUACAGCUUCGGUGUUUCUCCCACCCCCAUCUUUAUGUAGCAUCCAAGGGGGAUUGUGUGUGAGAAAACUGUGUUAAAAAGAGAGAUGCUCUCUGAGAAGAGGGAGAUAAAGGAGGAUUUGCUACUCGUAGCCUGCCAGGAGAGUUACAAUAGUAGAUGUGGAAAAGUACUGAGUUCACUGAAAAAAAGUGUUUGUGUUUGGCAUAUCUGCAAAGCCAACACUUCCAGAGUUUUGUAGUGACAUGUAAAACUUCAGGUUAAAUUGGGAACUGGCCUGCAGUUUUGAAGUGUGAGGGCUGAAUUUGUCUAGGUAAAAGGGUCUCUCUUCUGCUGCAUAUAGUUUUCCUAGCAUUCCCCCCUUCCCCUCUUACUUUUUUUUUUUUUUUUUUAAUUAAUGGGCUUGUUUUCAAACUUCCACCUCACUUUGAAGUUGAUCCAUUCUGGGUCUGAAUCUUUGCUCCUACUCUAUAGUAUCACAAAGUUUGCUGGUUUUUUUUCAUCAUUUUCCUUUGUGUUAGAUUCCAAUUUAGGUAACUCCAUCUUUACCAACAUGACAGUGAAAUGACAAGAAUUCAUCUAGUGCUGCCAUAUAACUUCCUAGCUGAUUGGUCAGCCUUGAGCAAGUGAACAGACAGGUUUCUGACUGGAGUGGCACGAAAGGGAAGAAAUAGAUGAGUGUACCCAUAUCUAUAUGAAGUUGCUACAACCAAAUUAUGGCAGAUACUCAAGCAACUUAAGAGAGAGAACUUAUGUUACCAGCUUCCUCUAAAACAGUGUACCUGUGAAAUUAAGCCCACAGACAUGAGAAGUCAUAUUGCUAUCCUCCAGUUUUUCCGUCUAUGGAUGAAUGAUCACCAGCACCAUCAACAAAGCAAGCGCCCAUUGCACAGGCUGUCCUUGUGCCUCGAGAGCAGUGGAAGAAACAGCUGAGGAAUGAGAAGAAAAAGAGAGCUGGCUUUCAGCCCUGUUGAUCCAGGAACAUUGAGAGUGAGUCUGGGAAUAUGGCUGGCACAAGGUGAGAAUUUCAUUCACUGCUGGGGAGUGUAGAAGGGGGCUGAGCUCGGACUGUGCUUGCUGCCUGCGCCCCAAAAGCCUCCUUGUUGCUGAAGACUGCCCCGGGGAGCCUGGCUGUAGGGGUUUGGCUGUUGCUCAGGAACAGCUUGAAGGGCACAUGUUGGGUGGGCAGAUGGAGCGGGUGAUGGAGAUGAUCUGAUGAAGAAGGGGAAGUGCACAGCGAGAAGCGGAAUGACAAAAGGGCAGCCGUGUGGGCGACCCAGUGGGAGUGGAGGAGGGCAAUAACUCAUCUCAAGAGGAGUGAGAAGCCAGCAGCGAAAUUGCCUGGAAUAAUCGGCUGAGGCAGAAGAGGGCUGAUGGAAUGAUGAGGUCUGGCAGACUUGAGGUUAUUCUCCAUGUGUGCCUGUCAGGGAGUCAAACAGUUUCCUGGUCAGUCAGCAAGGGCUGCUGAUCAACAGCCCUGGUGCUGGUCACAGCCCUGCAUGGUCCAAAGUAUUGUUAACCACGCGACAGAGCAGAGGGGCAUCUUCGGAGGUCCCAGAGGCACAGCAUCUCGACACAUGAAGGCAGCCCCCGAUGCAGCAGCCU